GAACAUCGACGAGCGAGAGUUUAACUAGCUAGCUUGAGAGGGAGGGAGACCGAAAGAAAAAAAAGAAAAAGGGACAGAGAAACAGAGGGAGGAAGCGAACAGAGAGGUUAGUUCGACCCGAGUGCUUUGCGAGGCAGCAGUUCACCAGGAGUGUUUCACCGCGACAAUUUCACGGACUGAGCCGUCCAAUCUAGAUAGCUUUCCUCCGAAUAACGCCUGCAACUGAAAAGCAGCCACCAUGUCGGACGCGGACAAGUUCCUGUAUGUGGACCGAAACCUGAUCAACAACCCCCUGGCGCAGGCCGACUGGGCCUCCAAGAAGCUGGUGUGGGUGCCGUCGGAGCGGCUGGGGUUCGAGCCGGGCUCGGUGAAGGAGGAGCGGGGGGACGAGUGCACCGUGGAGCUGGCCGACUCCGGCAAGAAGGUGAAGGUCAACAAGGACGACAUCCAGAAGAUGAACCCGCCCAAGUUCAGCAAGGUGGAGGACAUGGCCGAGCUCACCUGCCUGAACGAGGCGUCCGUGCUGCACAACCUGAAGGAGAGGUACUACUCCGGCCUCAUCUACACGUACUCAGGGCUCUUCUGCGUGGUGAUCAACCCGUACAAGAACCUGCCCAUCUACUCGGAGGAGAUCGUGGACAUGUACAAGGGCAAGAAGCGCCACGAGAUGCCGCCCCACAUCUACGCCAUCACCGACACCGCCUACCGCAGCAUGAUGCAGGACCGUGAGGACCAGUCCAUCCUCUGCACAGGGGAGUCUGGUGCAGGGAAGACGGAGAACACUAAGAAGGUGAUCCAGUAUUUGGCGCACGUGGCUUCAUCCCACAAGACCAAGAAAGACCAGACCCACGCAGUCCUGUCACAUGGGGAGCUGGAGAAGCAGCUGCUGCAGGCCAACCCCAUUCUGGAAGCCUUCGGUAACGCCAAGACGGUGAAGAACGACAACUCCUCCCGAUUCGGCAAAUUCAUCCGAAUCAACUUCGACGUCAACGGAUACAUCGUGGGAGCCAACAUCGAGACCUACCUGCUGGAGAAGUCUCGCGCCAUUCGCCAGGCCAAAGAGGAGAGGACCUUCCACCUCUUCUACUACCUGAUGACUGGGGCCGGGGACCGCAUGCGCUCGGAACUGUGCCUGGAGGGCUACAACAACUACCGCUUCCUGUCCAACGGCAACGUGACCAUCCCGGGCCAGCAGGACAAGGACAUGUUCGUGGAGACCAUGGAGGCCAUGAAGAUCAUGGGAAUUCCUGAGGAGGAGCAGAUCGGUUUGCUGAAGGUGGUCUCCGCUGUGCUCCAGCUGGGGAACAUGAGCUUCAAGAAGGAGCGUCACUCAGACCAGGCCUCCAUGCCCGACGACACAGCUGCCCAGAAGGUGUCCCACCUGAUGGGGAUGAACGUGACGGACUUCACGCGGGCCAUCCUGUCCCCCAGGAUCAAGGUGGGGCGGGACUACGUGCAGAAGGCGCAGACGCAGGAGCAGGCGGAGUUCGCGGUGGAGGCCCUGGCCAAGGCCACCUACGAGCGGAUGUUCCGCUGGCUGGUCAUGCGCAUCAACAAGGCGCUGGACAAGACCAAGCGCCAGGGCGCCUCCUUCAUCGGCAUCCUCGACAUCGCCGGCUUCGAGAUCUUCGAGCUGAACUCCUUCGAGCAGCUGUGCAUCAACUACACCAACGAGAAGCUGCAGCAGCUGUUCAACCACACCAUGUUCAUCCUGGAGCAGGAGGAGUACCAGCGGGAGGGCAUCGAGUGGAGCUUCAUCGACUUCGGCCUGGACCUGCAGCCCUGCAUCGAGCUCAUCGAGAAGCCCGCCAGCCCCCCUGGGAUCCUGGCCCUGCUGGAUGAGGAGUGCUGGUUCCCCAAGGCCACGGAUAAGUCCUUUGUGGAGAAGGUGGUCCAGGAGCUGGGCACUCACCCCAAGUUCCACAAGCCCAAGAAACUGAAGGACGAGGCGGACUUCUGCGUCAUGCACUAUGCUGGCAAGGUGGACUACAAGGCUGACGAGUGGCUGAUGAAGAACAUGGACCCCCUGAACGAUAACGUGGCCACGCUGCUGAACCAGUCCUCCGACAAGUUUGUGUCCGAGCUGUGGAAGGACGUGGACCGCAUCGUGGGUCUGGACAAGGUGGCGGGCAUGUCGGAGUCCAUCCCCGGGGCAUUUAAGACACGCAAGGGCAUGUUCCGCACCGUGGGGCAGCUGUACAAGGAGCAGCUGGCCAAGCUCAUGGCCACCCUGCGCAACACCAACCCCAACUUCGUCCGCUGCAUCAUCCCCAACCACGAGAAGAAGGCUGGUAAGCUGGACCCGCACCUGGUCCUGGACCAGCUGAGGUGUAACGGUGUUCUGGAGGGGAUCCGUAUCUGCAGACAGGGCUUCCCCAACCGCAUCGUCUUCCAGGAGUUCCGCCAGAGGUAUGAGAUCCUCACUCCCAACUCCAUUCCCAAGGGUUUCAUGGAUGGGAAGCAGGCCUGCGUGCUCAUGAUCAAAGCCCUAGAGCUGGACCCCAACCUGUACCGGAUCGGCCAGAGCAAAGUGUUCUUCCGGGCCGGGGUCCUGGCCCACCUGGAGGAGGAGCGGGACAUGAAGAUCACCGACGUCAUCAUCAGCUUCCAGGCCUGGUGCCGCGGCUACGUCGCCCGCAAGGCGUUCGCCAAGAGGCAGCAGCAGCUGACGGCCAUGAAAGUGAUCCAGAGGAACUGUGCCGCCUACCUGAAGCUCAGGAACUGGCAGUGGUGGAGACUCUUCACUAAGGUGAAGCCGCUGCUGCAGGUGAGCCGGCAGGAGGAGGAGAUGGCGGUGAAGGACACCGAGCUGAAGGUGGUGAAGGAGAAGCAGCAGUUCGCCGAGCAGCAGCUGCAGGAGAUGGAGACCAAGCAGCAGCAGCUGAAUGCGGAGAAGAUGGCGCUGCAGGAGCAGCUGCAGGCGGAGACGGAGCUGUGCGCCGAGGCGGAGGAGAUGCGCUCCCGCCUGGCCGCCAAGAAGCAGGAGCUGGAGGAGAUCCUGCACGACCUGGAGGCGCGCGUGGAGGAGGAGGAGGAGCGCGUCACGCACCUGCAGACCGAGAAGAAGAAGAUGCAGCAGAACAUCACGGACCUGGAGCAGCAGCUGGAUGAGGAAGAGGCCGCCAGGCAGAAGCUGCAGCUGGAGAAGGUCACCCUGGAGGCCAAGAUGAAGAAGAGCGAUGAGGACGUGAUGCUGCUGGAGGACCAGAACAACAAGCUGAACAAGGAGAAGAAGCUGAUGGAGGAGAGGAUCUCCGAGUUCACCACCAACCUGGCCGAGGAGGAGGAGAAGUCCAAGAGUCUGCAGAAGCUCAAGAACAAGCAUGAGGCCAUGAUCACCGACCUGGAGGACCGUCUGCGGAGGGAGGAGAAGCAGCGGCAGGAGCUGGAGAAGAACAGGCGCAAGCUGGAGGGCGACUCCACCGAGCUGACCGACCAGAUCGCCGAGCUGCAGGCCCAGAUCGCCGAGCUCCGCGCCCAGCUGGCCAAGAAGGAGGAGGAGCUUCAGGCCGCUCUGGCCAGGAUCGAGGAGGAGGCGGCGCAGAAGAACCACGCCCAGAAGAAGAUCCGGGAGCUGGAGGCGCAGCUGUCGGAGCUGCAGGAGGACCUGGAGCUGGAGAGAGCCGCGCGGGCCAAGGCGGAGAAGCACCGCCGCGACCUGGGCGAGGAGCUGGAGGCGCUCAAGACCGAGCUGGAGGACACGCUGGACUCCACCGCCGCGCAGCAGGAGCUCAGGUCCAAGCGCGAGACGGAGGUGGCCCAUCUGAAGAAGACUCUGGAGGACGAAGCCCGCGUGCACGAGCAGCAGGUGGUGGAGAUGCGGCAGAAGCACAGCCAGGCCUUCGACGAGCUCAACGAGCAGCUGGAGCAGGCCAAGCGGAACAAGGUGUCUGUGGAGAAGACCAAGCAGGCUCUGGAGAGCGAGCGCAACGAGCUGAGCAUCGAGCUGCAGGCGCUGAUGCAGGGCAAGACGGAGUCCGAGCACCGCAGGAAGAAGGCCGAGACGCAGGUGCAGGAGCUGCAGAUCAAGUUCAUCGAAAGCGAGAAGCAGCGCGCCGAGCAGGCCGAAAAGCUCUCCAAAAUGCAGGUGGAGCUGGACAACGUGAACGCCCUGCUGAGUGAUGUGGAGGGCAAGUCCAUCAAAGCCACCAAGGACUGCUCUGCAGUGGAGUCUGCGCUGCAGGACGUACAGGAGCUGCUGCAGGAGGAGACACGGCAGAAGCUGUCCUUCUCCACCCGCACCAGGCAGAUGGAGGAGGAGCAGAACAGGCUGAGGGAGCAGCUGGAGGAGGAGGAGGAGGCCAAGAGGGCCUUUGAGAAGCAGCUCUUCACCAUGCAGUCCCAGUUUGCAGACAUGAAGAAGAAGAUGGAGCAGGAGGCUGGCUGCGUGGAUGCUGCAGAGGAGGUCAAGAAGAGGGUGCAGAGGGACCUGGAGAGCACCGUCCAGCGUCUGGAGGAGAGGAACUCCGCCUACGACAAGAUGGAGAAGACCAAGAACCGGCUGCAGCAGGAGCUGGACGACCUGAUGGUGGACCAGGACCACCUGCGCCAGAUCGUCUCCAACCUGGAGAAGAAGCAGAAGAAGUUCGACCAGCUCCUGGCGGAGGAGAAGACCAUCUCCAGCCGCUAUGCGGAGGAGCGCGACCGGGCGGAGGCGGAGGCGCGGGAGAAGGAGACGCGGGCGCUGGCUCUGACCCGCGAGCUGGAGGCGCUGUCGGACCUGAAGGACGAGAUGGAGCGCGCCAACAAGCUGCUCCGGGCCGAGAUGGAGGACCUGGUCUCCUCCAAGGACGACGUGGGCAAGAGCGUGCACGAGCUGGAGAAGUCGAAGCGCGGGAUGGAGCAGCAGCUGGAGGAGAUGCGCACGCAGCUGGAGGAGCUGGAGGACGAGCUGCAGGCCACGGAGGACGCCAAGCUGCGGCUGGAGGUCAACAUGCAGGCCAUGAAGGCGCAGUACGAGCGGGACCUGCAGGGCAGAGACGAGAUGGGCGAGGAGAAGAAGAAGCAGCUGGUCAAACAGGUGCGAGAGAUGGAAAUGGAGCUGGAGGACGAGCGCAAGCAGCGCACCGUUGCCGUGGCAGCCCGUAAGAAGAUGGAGCUGGACCUGAAGGAGCUGGAGGCCGCCAUCGACAUGGCCAACAAGAACCGGGACGAGGCCCUCAAACAGCUGAAGAAACUCCAGGCCCAGAUGAAGGACCUGCUGAGGGAGCUGGACGACACUCGCAUCUCCCGAGAGGAGAUCCUGGCCCAGUCCAAGGAGAACGAGAAGAAGCUCAAGAGCAUGGAGGCCGACAUGAUCCAGAUGCAGGAGGAGCUGGCAGCUGCAGAGAGGGCGAAGAGACAGGCUCAGCAGGAGAGAGACGAGCUGCAGGAUGAGAUCAACAACCAGGGAGGCAAGAGCACCCUGGCCCAGGAGGAGAAGCGCAGGCUGGAGGGGCGCAUCGCUCAGCUGGAGGAGGAGCUGGAGGAGGAGCAGUGCAACUCCGAGCUGAUCAACGACCGUCUGAAGAGGGCCCAGCUCCAGAUUGACCAGAUCAACGUGGAGCUGACAGCGGAGCGCAGUACCUGUCAGCGCCUGGAGGGGGCGCGCUCGCAGAUGGACCGGCAGAACAAGGAGCUGAAGCUGAAGCUGCAGGAGCUGGAGGGGACCGUCAAGAGCAAGUACAAGGCCAGCAUCGGCGCCCUGGAGGCCAAGAUCGCCCAGCUGGAGGAGCAGCUGGACAUGGAGACCCGCGAGCGGCAGCAGGCCUCCAAGCUUGUGCGGCGCACGGAGAAGAGGCUGAAGGAGGUGGUGCUGCAGGUGGAUGACGAGAGAAGGAACACGGAGCAGUACAAGGACCAGGCGGACAAGCUGAACUCCAGGAUGAAGCAGCUGAAGCGGCAGCUGGAGGAGGCUGAGGAGGAGGCCCAGCGUGCCAACGCCAACCGCAGGAAGCUGCAGCGCGAGCUGGAGGAUGCGUCCGAGUCCGCCGACGCCAUGAACCGCGAGGUCAACACCCUGAAGAGCAAGCUGAGGCGCGAGAACUUACCGUUUCCCACGAGACGCCUGGUCAGCCGCGCAGGAGUCGAGAGCGACGAGGAGAGCGAGACCAAAAGCGAGGCUUCUGAACCCAAGCCCGAGUGAACCAUGUGCCACUAACCUCCACAGCGCCACCAUGGGGCUGGAGGAGUGAUCUGCAACUCACACACUUAAGACACACACACACACACACACAACCUGACCCAACACAAACAGACACACAUAAAAAAAAUACCUGGUAACAAAUAAAAGCACUGUUGACAGAUAGGAACUAACACCAAGGCUCUUUGCUGUAACCGACCCAUAAUCGCAUUAAAUAUUGUACAUCACAAUAUUGCUUGUCGGUGCACAAGGGACAAUCCUUCUGGUGCAUUUGCCGAGGUCGAUAGACAAUCCUCACACACGUCAGCACACGGUUUUCAGACAAUCAGCAGACACGCAUGAACAGGGGCCAAAUUACUCCGCUCUUCCUUCUCUGGAAUUUGAAUAUGAUGAUAUUUUUGUAAGGAAACAUUCCAAUUAUGUUGUCCAGUUUCUGGGUCUAUUUUUCUAACUGAAUGAAGAAAUGGAAGAAGGAAAAUUCUGGGGGUAGGAGGGAGGGUUGGGAAGAAGAACAUACAGGGGACCAAAGUAAUAUUGCAAUCUAGAGAUUUGUAUUUUAUUCUGAAGUUUUUAUAAUGGUUAAACUAUGGAAGUACUACAGGUUAAUGUACUCUUUGCUCUCUGUCUCUCUCUCUCUUUCUCUGCACUUGUGUUCGUAAAGACGCUGAAACUUCCUGUUAAAUUUAGCAGCGUCAGACUUAAGUACUUAGGGCUUUGUGAGAUGGUAGUUUAGCAUGUACUGCGCACGCGUUUCCAGUUCACACGCUGGGGGCACGUUAGCAUUCACGGCAGCGGCAAACUUUUGGGCACCCUGCUGGUUAUUAAUGCAGGAGCACCUGUGGGCAGGGGUAGGUAAAUUUUGGGCACCCUGCUGGUUAUUAAUGCAGGUGCACCUGUGGGUGGGGGUAGGUAAAUUUUGGGCACCCUGCUGGUUAUUAAUGCAGGUGCACCUGUGGGGCGGGGGUGGAAGGUGCUAAUUUUGGCAUUCCCCCACACGGGGGGGGACGGGGGCGGCUGAUGAAUUAAAGAGAAAGUCCUAAAAGCGUGCAGAAGUAUGUCACAGGCUCUUAAAGUGUACACAGAGACCUGCUCAUACACCCAUAGCCUUAUAAACCACAGUUAAAUUCUACUGCUAAAGGUAUCUUUGGGGGUUUCUUUUUCUGUUUUUUUUUUGGGGGGGGGGUGUGUAGGGAGGGGAGGGGGAGGGCAGGGAGGUGGGUCCAUGUCAUUAAAUAUAUACUUGCGCCUUUAUUACUGUCAGCGUUUUGUGUUUUGUUUUGAUUGUAAUAUGCAAACGCAGGGCUUUUUGGGAUGACGGGACGUCCCGUCUCACUGCACACACUGUAUUCUGAACACAGCUCAGCGAAACUUUGGCAGAGAGCCCCCUCCUCCCUCUGCGGUUAACUCCUCCCCCAAACACCCCCCCCCCCCCCACCCCCAGAUCUGUACCUGUAUGUUGGUGAACGCACCCUUCAGCUUUGCGGUUUCAUCCGACAUUUCAUCUCCUGAUGCUGCUCUUUUCCUCAAACUGUGGCCCCCUUUCCCUUCCUUCGUUUUCCUUUUUCCUAACCCCCCCCCCCCCCCCCCCCAUCAAAAUGGGACCGUGGGGUGGGUGAGUUGCCAUUCCGAAAGUCUGGCUCGUGGGCCUUUUGAAAGGAGAGGGGGUUUGUUGCUGAACCGGAGGGGUUUGGUUUGGUUUGGGGGGACCCAUGAGCUGUGUUCAGUUUAGCUUUUCUUUUUUUUUUUUCUUCCUUCUUUUUUCACUCACACUGCUGGGAAGUGAGAGACAUUAUCAUUAUCAAUGACGGAGGAAUUUAAUAAUGAAUCUCUCUCGCGGUUAACUCUCCUAAUCCUGGUUUUUGUACUGUUCAUUUUGCUCUGCUGCUCUGAAGAAGAAAAAAUGAAAUAUAUAUAAAAAAAAGAUGAAUCUUGAAUUGUUGGUAUUAUUGCAAUAAAGAUGGCUUUCUCAACUGCUA